GGACAAUCUUACUGUGUUGAUGGCAGUAAAGCUACAGAAAAUCUCGGACGAUACAUAAAUGAUGACCACAUCAAGCCAAACAGCAAAAUUAAAAUAAUAAUGGAUGAAAAGAAAAUGCCACAUUUGUGUGUAUUUGCGUUAACAAAAAUCAAGCCAAUCAUACCAAAGAAAAAAUCAUACCAAAGCCUAUGGACUAGUAUGCAGGAGUGAUCCAGCUCUCA